GAUCAUGGCUCAGGAUGAACGCUAGCUACAGGCUUAACACAUGCAAGUCGAGGGGCAGCAUGAAUUUACUUCGGUAAAUUUGAUGGCGACCGGCGCACGGGUGCGUAACGCGUAUCCAACCUUCCCGUUACUCCGGGAUAGCCUUCCGAAAGGGAGAUUAAUACCGGAUGGUGUUCAAGUGGUGCAUAUUAUUUGAACUAAAGAUUUAUCGGUAACGGAUGGGGAUGCGUACCAUUAGAUAGUAGGCGGGGUAACGGCCCACCAUGGCGACGAUCAGUAGCCGGUCUGAGAGGAUGAACGGCCACAUUGGGACUGAGAUACGGCCCAGACUCCUACGGGAGGCAGCAGUGAGGAAUAUUGGUCAAUGGCCGGAAGGCUGAACCAGCCAAGUAGCGUGAAGGAUGAAGGUUCUAUGGAUUGUAAACUUCUUUUAUACGGGAAUAAAGCCCGCUACGUGUAGCGGUUUGUAUGUACCGUAUGAAUAAGCAUCGGCUAACUCCGUG
rnacentral:rRNA from 1 species